rnacentral:rRNA from 1 species
GUACCUACGGGACGCAGCAGUCGAGAAUCAUUCACAAUGGGGGAAACCCUGAUGGUGCGACGCCGCGUGGGGGAAUGAAGGUCUUCGGAUUGUAAACCCCUGUCAUGUGGGAGCAAAUUAAAAAGAUAGUACCACAAGAGGAUGAGACGGCUAACUCUGUGCCAGCAGCCGCGGUAAUACAGAGGUCUCAAGCGUUGUUCGGAAUCACUGGGCGUAAAGCGUGCGUAGGCUGUUUCGUAAGUCGUGUGUGAAGGGCGCGGGGUCAACCCGCGGACGGCUCAUGAUA